UAUAGGUUCCAAAAAAAAUUAUCAUAAAUUUAAUUUCGGAAUAUUUAACGUUUUCAAAAUAGAUAUAUACAAAUUAUUAAAAAUCAUUUAAAAUAAACAAUCUUUAAUUAUUUUUUUUAAGGCAGUAGGUUUAAAAUAAACAUUGUCAAUGUCACUAAAAAUAAAAAAUGUAGUGUAUGGUUUGUAUAACAAGAACAUAUAAUUAUCAAUAUUACCAACUUUUAUAAAUUAUAAAUGGUUACAGUGUGAUUUAAUUUAUGCAUGAUAUCGCCUUCAAAAUACCGAGAACGUACUUAAC